CGGGUGAGUAACGCGUGGGUAACCUGCCUCGUACAGGGGGAUAACAGUUAGAAAUGACUGCUAAUACCGCAUAAGCGCACAGUGCUGCAUGGCACAGUGUGAAAAACUCCGGUGGUAUGAGAUGGACCCGCGUCUGAUUAGCUAGUUGGUGGGGUAACGGCCUACCAAGGCGACGAUCAGUAGCCGGCCUGAGAGGGUGAACGGCCACAUUGGGACUGAGACACGGCCCAA
rnacentral:rRNA from 1 species